UGGCGAACGGGUGAGUAACACGUGGGUGAUCUGCCCUGCACUCUGGGCUAAGCCUGGGAGACUGGGUCUAAUACCGGAUAGGACCAUGCUUUAGUGUGUGUGGUGGAAAGUUUUUUCGGUGUAGGAUGAGCCCGCGGCCUAUCAGCUUGUUGGUGGGGUAAUGGCCUACCAAGGCGGCGACGGGUAGCCGGACUGAGAGGUUGGUCGGCCACAUUGGGACUGAGAUACGGCCCAG
rnacentral:rRNA from 1 species